rnacentral:lncRNA from 1 species
AAGGCGCUUGUCAAAAAGUAAUGCACUCUCAUCUCUCUCAUCAAGUUCGGCAGCUUCAGCUUCUAGCCAUUUCUCUCGCAGAUCAUCCAAAACAUUUCCUUCAGCUGUGUUCAUCUCAGCUCCUGGAGCACUAGGCGCAGUUGUACGAAGUGAUGAAUCCCCAGAUGGUGGUGGGAGGGUCAAAAGCAUUGCCCUAGGCAGUUGUACGAAGUGAUGAAUCUCCAGAUGGUGGUGGGAGGGUCAAAAGCAUUGCCCUAAACUCUUGAGUAUCCGCAAAUGUCUCAAAGUUACAUGCCAUUGCAUCUAGACAAUACUCCCGAAUCUU